CCUACGGGAGGCAGCAGUGGGGAAUAUUGCGCAAUGGGCGAAAGCCUGAUGCAGCGAAGCCGCGUGAGGGAUGAAGGCCUUCGGAUCGUAAAACUCUUUCAGUAGGGAAGAAAGGUCACUGAUGUAUUCAGUAGUGAAUUGACGGUACCUGCAAAGGAAGCACCGGCUAACUCCGUGCCAGCAGCCGCGGUAAUACGGAGGGUGCGAGCGUUAAUCGGAAUUACUGGGCGUAAAGCGCACGCAGGCGGUAUGUUAAGUCAGAUGUGAAAUCCCCGGGCUCAACCUGGGAACUGCAUUUGAAACUGGGAAGCGUGAGUGCGUGAGAGGAGGGUGGAAUUCCAGGUGUAGCGGUGAAAUGCGUAGAUAUCUGGAGGAACAUCGGUGGCGAAGGCGGCCAUCUGGACAAUAACUGACGCUGAGGUGCGAAAGCGUGGGUAGCAAACAGGAUUAGAUACCCUUGUAGUC
rnacentral:rRNA from 1 species